GCUGAUCCCGAAGGCUCUGGGAGUGGGUGAAGCCUUGAUGCCGAUCGGACCCCCGCUGGGACCGGGCGGAGAAAGGCAAGGCAGGUUUCAAAGCCCAUUUCACAGAUUCCCUUCUGGCCUGAUGAGGAGAGAUUAGUUUCAGCCAGGCCACCCAAGAGGCAUCGGCAAAGCCAGAACUAACACCCAGAUUUCCUUCAUUCCAGGGACAGAGGUGGGGAAUCACAGGGCUGCGCUGUAUUAGCCCUCCUAGUACCCUCUCAGUCCGAGGAUUCUCACAUGGGAGGCUACUGGACAGGUCUGUCCACGUACCCAUUUCACAGAUGGAAAAACUGAGGCCUUGUGUGUACCUGGCUGCUGUAGGAGGCUCUCGCACCACCCAGAUCCUCUGAUGCGCUUGUUUGCGGGGUCUCUGUGGACAGGAGAAAAAGGCAAAGGCUGAUUGGGCGCGGUGGCUCACGCCUGUAAUCCCAGCACUUUGGGAUGCCGAGGUGGGCAGAGCAUCUGAGGUCGGGAGUUCGAGACCAACCUGACCAAUAUGGAGAAACCUUGUCUCUACUAAAAAUACAAAAUUAGACGAGCGUGGUGGCGCAUGGCUGUAAUCCCAGCUACUCAGGAGGCUGAGGCAGGAGAAUCGCCUGAACCCGUGGGCGGAGGUCGCGGUGAGCCAAGAUUGUGCCAUUGCACUCCAACCUGGGCAACAAGAGCGAAACUCCCGGCCGGGCGCGGUGGCUGACGCCUGUAAUCCCAGCACUUUGGGAGGCCGAGGCGGGCGGAUCACGAGGUCAGGAGAUCGAGACCAUCCUGGCUAACACGGUGAAACCCCGUCUCUACUAAAAAUACAAAAAAAAAUUAGCCGGGCAUGGUGGCAGACGCCUGUAGUCCCAGCUACUCGGGAGGCUGAGGCAGGAGAAUGGCGUGAACCCGGGAGGAAGAGCUUGCAGUGAGCCGAGAUCGCACCACUACACUCCAGCCUGGGUGACAGAGUGAGACUCCGUCUCAAAAAAAAAAAAAAAAAAAAAAAAGCGAAACUCCCUCUGGAAAAAAAAAAAGAAAAAAGAAAAAGGCAAAGGCUGGAUACCUAGUGUGGGAGAUUUACUGCGAAGCUAAUGGGCGCUUGAAAGGCUGAGUGUGGAGGGGAAGCCAGGUUGCUAUUAGAAUACAUCUCAGGUAAGUUGUGCAUGGAGAUCAAAAGGGAGAGAAGCCAGUCUCCAAGAUUCCAGUAAUGUGCCGUGGUAUCCGAAACUUAAAAAAAAAAACAAAACUCACUUUUAUAUGUAAUUUUGUGUUUAUCUUUUGUAUUCUUGAAGACGGUCUCCAAAAGCAAAUAAGCCCCCAGCCCCACAAAACCUGGGCUUAUGAUGGAGAAAAGGAGAUGCUAUUUUAGAUAAGGUGAUUCAGGAAAACAGCAAAGACCUGGAGGAAGAGAUACAGUCAAGGAGGGAAGAGUUGUAGAGCCACAAAGGUAUUAAGGGACCAGGCUUCUCACAGGAGACAUGUUAGAUUUAAAGAUAGGGUCUGAUUUGAAGACACAAACAGCAAAGGCUGCCAGAGAAUGUCCCAAGACAUCUGGACACACAGUCUGACACACCACAUACAGAGUCAUUUUUAUUGAGUAAAUGUGUAUUUUACUGCCUCCCACAGGGAUGGACCAGUGAACAAAACAAUGUCCCUGCCAUCCUGGGGUAUAGAGUACUGUGUGUCUUGGGGUUGCAGACAGGAAUCAUGCCACCAUAAAUAAAUCUAUAAUACAUGGCCAGGCGCGGUGGCUCACGCCUGUAAUCCCAGCACUUUGGGAAGCUGAGGCAGGCAGAUCACCUGAGGUCAGGAGUUCAAGACUAGCCUGGCCAACAUAGUGAAACCCCGUCUCUACUAAAAAUACAAAAAAUUAGCUGGGUGUGGUGGCGGUACUUGUGAUUCCAGCUACUCAGGAGGCUGAGGCAGGAGAAUCGCUUGAACCUGGGAGGCAGAGAUUGCAAUGAGCCGAGAUCACGCCACUGCACUCCAGCCUGGGUGACAGAGAGACUCCGUCUCCAAAAAAAAUAAAAAUUAAAUUAAAAAACCCAAAUCCAUAAUAUAUCUACUGGUGAUAAAGGAUAAGAACAAAAGUAAAGCAGAGUAAGGGAGCUAUAGUGGAGAAGCUGAGAGGCUAUUUUAGAUAAGGUGGUUCAGGAAAACAGCAAAAAUCUGAAGGAAGACAUAGAAUCAGAGAUCAGGGAAUGUGACCCAGAGGGGGCCAAGUACAAAGGCCCUGAGGCAGGAGGGCUGAACUGGGUGAUGUAGAUGGAGAUUGGUGGGAGAUGAGAUCAGAAAGGGGGCAGGAACCAGAUCAAAGAAGGUCUUGGAGAGCUUUGGGGAGAACCUUGGUGCUAUGGUUCGAAUGUCCCUGCCACAACUCAUGUUGAAAUAAAAAAUUCAAUUGCUACUGUCUUAAGAGAUGGGACUUUUUUUCUCUUUGAGACAGGGUCUCACUCUUGUCCCCCAGGCUGGAGUGCAGUGGGUUGAUCAUGGCUCACAGCAGCCUCAACUGCCUGGGCUCAAGCAGUCCUCUGCCUUGGCCUCCUGAGCAGCUGGAACUACAGAUGUGUGCCACCACACCUGGCUAAUUAAAAAAAAAAUUUUUUUUUUCAUACAGACAGGAUCUUGCUGUGUUGCCUGGGCUGGUUUCCAACUCCUGAACUCAAGCAGUCCUCCCACUUCAGCCUCCCAAAGUGUUGGGAUUACAGGCCUGAGCCACUGCACUGGGCAGGGUGGGGCCUUUAAGAGGUAAUUAGGUCAGCUGGGCGAGGUGGCUCACUCCUGUAAUCUCAGCACUUUGGGAAGCCAAAGUGGUGGAUCUCAGGUGGAUCACCUGAGAUCAGGAGUUUGCGACCAGCCCAACCAACGUGGUGAAACCCCGUCUCUACUAAAAGUACAAAAAUUAGCGGGGUGUGGUGGCAUGCGCCUAAAAUCCCAGCUUCUCAAGAGGCCGAGGCAGGAGAAAAAAAAAAAAGAUAAUUAGAUCAUGAGGGCUCUGCCCUCUUGAAUAGAUAAAUACUGUUAUCAUGGGAGUGGCUCCUGAUGGAUGGACGACAUUUGGCCCAAUUUCGUGUCUCUCAUUUGCUUCCACCUUCUGCCCUUCCAUCCUGGGACAGCCCUUUGCCAGAUACUGCAUGAAGUUCUUGCACUUUCCAGCCCCUAAAACUGUGAAGCUCUGAGCAAAAUAAACUUUGCUUCUUUUGUUUUGUUUUAAGACAGAGUCUCACUGUCACCCAGGUUGGAGUGCAACGGCAUGAUCUCGGCUCACUGCAACCUCUGCCUCCCAGGUUCAAGUGAUUCUCCUGCUUCAGCCUCCUGAGUAGCUGGGAUUACAGGCACCCACCACCACGCCCAGCUAAUUUUUCUAUUUUUAGUAGAGACAGGCUUUCACCAGGUUGGCCAGGCUGGUCUUGAACUCCUGACCUCAGGUGAUCCACCCGCCUCGGCCUCCCAAAGUGCUGGGAUUAAAGACAUGAGCCACCGCACCCGGCCGAGUCUCACUCUUUACCCAGGCUGGAGUGCAGUGGAGAAAUCUCAGCUCACUGCAACCUUCGUCUCCCGGGUUCAAGCGAUUCUCCUGCCUCAGCCUCCCGAGUAGCUGGGAUUACAGGCACAAACUACCACGCCCAGCUAAUUUUUGUAUUUUUAGUAGAGACGGGGUUUUACCAUGUUGGCCAGGCUGGUCUCGAACUCCUGAUCUCAAGUGAUUCACCGGCCUUGGGCUCCCAAAGUGUUGGGAUUACAGGCGUAGCCACCACACCUGGCCUCUUUCUUUCUUUUAUGAGACAGGGUCUCCCUCUCUUGCCCAGGCUGGAAUGCAGUGGUGUGCCCACAGCUUACUGUGGCCUCAACCUCCUGGGCUCAAACAGUCUUCCCAUGUCAGCCUCCCAAGAAGCUGGGACUACAGAUGUGUGCAACCACACCCAACUAUUUUUUUUGUUUUUUCGUAGAGACGGGGUCUCACUUUGUUGCCCAGGCUCCCUUUUUUAUUUUAAAUUUUUUUUAAUUUUAUUAUUAUUAUUUUGAGAUGGAGUUUCACUCUUGUUGCCCAGGCUAGAGUACAAUGGCGCAAUCUCCACUCACUGCAGCGUACGCCUCCGGGGUUCAAGCAAUUCCCCUGCCUCAGCCGCCUGAGUAGCUGGGAUUACAGGCACGUGCCACCACGCCUGGCUAAUUUUUUGGGUUUUUAGUAGAGACAAGGUUUCACCCUGUUGGCCAGGCUGGUCUUGAACUCCUGACCUCAGGUGAUCCACCCGCCUCGGCCUCCCAAAGUGCUGGGAUUACAGGCAUGAGCCACCACGCCCGGCCAAUUUUUAUUUUUUUGAGACAAAGUCUCUGUUGCCCAGGCUGGAGUGCAGUGUCCCAAUCUUGGCUCACUGCAGCCUCCACCUCCCUGGUUCAAGAGAUUCUCCUUUGUCAGCCUCUGGAGCAGCUGCGAUUACAGGCGCCCACCACCAUGCCUGGCUAAUUUUUAUAUUUUUAGUAGACACAGGGUUUCACCAUAUUGGCCAGGUUGGUCUCAAACUCCUGACCUCAAGCAAUAACGUCCGCCUCAGCCUCACAAAGUGCUGUGAUUAUAGGCAUGAGCCAUCACGCCCGGCCCUGUCAUUUUUAAAAGAUCAUUUUAAAUGCACUGUGCUAAUUUUACUGCUGAUGGGCAAGAGUGGAAUCAAGAAAACUAGUUAGGAGGCUACUGCUGUAAUUGAAGGGAAAGAUGACAGUGUGCAGUCUCGAAUAGGGUGAUUUUGGAAUAUGCUUUGAUGAGCAAAGGUAGAGCUGUCAGUAUUUGCUGCUGAAUUGGUUGAAAGGUGAGAGAGACUGGAGUCAAGGACUACUCCAGGGUUUUUAAAACCAGUAUUGGGAAAAAUGGAGUUGUCAUACAGUAAAGUAGAGAAGACUGGGGGAGGAGCCGGUAGGAGGACUGGAAAUGUGGAAUUGGGGUUUAGACACAUUAAGUUCAUUGCAUCAGGUGGACGUGUUGUAUUGAGUAGGCAGUUGGAGAUACAGACCUGGAGUCUGUGGGAGACAGUGGGGUUUCUUUGGUGGGGGGGUCAUCGGCAUCUAAGUGCUAUUCGAAGUCAUGGGACUGCAGAAGAUUAUAUUAACAAUGUGAAUAUUCACAAGCUUGAAAAAAUGAAUGUACGGAAGAGAGGGGGUCACACUUUACCUCUUAUUAUCCCACCCCCAGGGGUGACCUUGUGAGCCACACCACACAGGUACACACAUGCACGCAUAUGUACACACACUGUCACAGAGGGGCAAAGGGGGUUGGCGAGAGCGGGACUGAGAGCAGAUCCCAGGCCUCAGAAACCCAUGCCACCUGGGCCCCCUCCCUGUGGCCUUCCUGGAUGCUGUAGGGAUAGCAGAUCUGUCUGGGUCAGCAGGUCAGGGCGACUGGCAGGAGGGGGUGGCUGGGAGGCCUCUUCCUCCAAGAGCAGGGGCAGCACAUCAUCCAACAGGCAGAGAAGACCCUCAUCCGAGGUAGGGGCAGGUCAGGGUGGAGUGCCUGCCUCCUUCCCCCAGUGCCCCACACAAAGCUCCAAGAGCUCCAACAGGCUCCUGUCUGUUUCCACUUCCCAGGCUUUCUGUGGUCAUGUCCCUGCCCACUCCAAAGGGCCAUCCCCCUCAGCCUUGCCUCCCUCUCAGACCCAGCUGAAUCCCUGCCUCGGUACCGCCCCCUCCUGGGGCACUCCUGCCCCCUUCCUCUGCUGCAUCCUCACCUAGCCUCCUAUCUGUUCACACCUCCCCUGCACCAGACCUCCACAGAAGUUCAGACAGUGGCUCUACAACCCUACUGGCCCCUAUCAAUGACUCCUGCCCCCCUGGGACCCUCCACUGGGCUCAGGAAAGACGGGCCAUUGUAGCAAAGUAGCCAGUCCUGUAGCCCCAGCUGGACCUCCUGGUGAGGCAGCUUGCCAGAUGGUGGGGAUCGCUCAGUCCUCUGGGGCAGAACAGGGUGAGUGGGGCUGUCUCCCUUUGAUUCACUUAGCCCUCUUUCUUCUUUACACAUUUGCAAAAUGUGACAGUAGUCAUAUUACUAUUCAUUCUAAUAACAGUCCUUGCUGGCUAUUAAACCUCUAUACUAGCACUUUCAGGCAUUAUCUCCACCAUUACUAAAACCGAUUAGAUAGGUAUUAUUAUACCCAUUUUACAGAUAAGAAAGACUCAGAGGGCCGGUCGCGGUGGCUCAUGCCUGUAUGCCCAGCAAUCUGAGAGGCCGAGGCGGGCGGAUCACCUAAGGUCGAGAGUUUGAGACCAGCCUGACCAACAUGGAGAAACCCCGUCUCUACCGAACAUACAAAAUUAGCCGGUAUCCCAGCUACUUGGGAGGCUGAGGCAGGAGAAUCACUUGAAUCUGGGAAGCGGAGAUUGUGGUGAGCCGAGAUUGCCCCAUUGCACUCCAGCCUAGGCAACAAGAGCGAAACUCUGUCUCAGAAAAUAAAAAAAAAAGAAAGAAAGAAAGAAAAGAAAGACUGAGAGAAAGCAAGGAACUUGCCUGAGGUCUCAUGGCUAAUGGGGUCCAAGUCACAACCUGACUCUACCCCAAGCCAAUUCCCACCUAACUCCUCCUGCAGAUGCCCCUUGGUUAUCCAGAGACUGUGUCUGGCCUUUAAUAUGGACUUGAGGUGUGAUCCUGGGCUGGCUUCUUUCUGGACCUUGGUUUCUGAGUUUUUCGGUUGGUUGGUUCAUUUGAUUAAUUGACAGGGUCUCACUCUGUCACCCAGGCUGGAGUGCAGUGGCCCCAUCAUGCUCACUGCACCCUCCAACUCCUGGGCUCAAGGAAUGGUGCCACUGUGCUGAUUUUUAAAUUUUCUUUAUUUUUGUAGAGAUGGGGGUCUCACUGUGUUGCUCUGGCUGGUCUCCAACUCCGGGGCUUGAGCGAUCCUCCUGCCUCCGCCUCCCAAAGCGCUGGCAUUACAGGCGACAGCCAUCGCGCCUAGCUGCGCUGGUAAAACUGGCUAACGCGAUCUAUCUUAAUUAGCCACCCACAGCUGCUACCGCCGCCCCAUCCCCAGGGACCACACAGACCCAGGGGACAAAGAAGGGCGCGGGAGACAGCGGCUGAGGAAGCCUUUACUGCGGGGCGGCCGGAGGAUCGCCGAGCUCAGGGUCCCCCACCGCACCGCGCCCGGCCUCGUCCUCUGCCCCAGGCCCGGCCCCGCCCCCAGCCUCGGCCCCAGCCUCGGCCUUUGCCGGAACGUCGCCGAACACUUCCCGGUGCAUGGCGGUGACGUAGUUGGAGCCGCUGGGGUCGUCCAGGCGCAUCCGCAGCAGGGGCAGGAAGCGCUCGGUGGUGAAGUAGCGCAGGGUCGGCUUCGGGGCGCGCAAAGCGGUGAGGAAGACCUGCGGCGGCGGGAGGAGAGCUGUGGCCACCGCUGCGCGCCGGAGGACGCACCGCCCCCACUCCUGGAGUCCAGCCCGGCGCUCACCUCCGCCACCUCCUCAGGGUUCUGCGCCGCCUCGCGAAAGACUUGCUUGCUGUGGGCGAGGUAUUGGUAGAAGCGGUGGAAGGUGUGGAUGUCCGUGCGGUCCAGCACCUCCUCUGGGCUGCCCAACACCUUCUCCAUGAAGGCGGUGUGCACUGGGCCGCACUCGAUCAGGCUCAAGCUGCUGGCCGGAGAGCAACGAGUGGGAGGGGGCGGACGCCAGCCAGGCCCCAGUCCCAGCCCCAACCCCAGUCCCAGCCCCAACCACGUCCCGGCCCCCGACCGCGAGCAGCACCGCUGCGCUGGGAAGUGAGGCGGAAAGGGCGCUGGGGAUAACCAGAACAUUUGAAACGCGGGUUCCUGCCGGAGCAGCCCUCCCAAAUCCAUCUGAGGCUACAAGGGAGCCCUGGUGUCAGGAUUCGAAUCUAGCGGGGUCCCUGGCCGCUGUGUGACCUUGGGCCAGUCACCUAACCUCUCUGGGCUGGAGCUUCCCCAUAACAAUACCAACACUUCAGCAGCUAGGUCAGCAGGUGGCACAAUGCGUGCCAUGCGCCCAGCCCAAGUGCCUGGCACACAGCUAAUGUGAGCCGGGCAGAGAGGGCCAGGGAGAUCGCCCCAGAGCGGCUCCCGCAGGACAGGGUGCUCGGCGUCUCUAGGUCAGAGUUAAGAGGGUUCGGGGAACGGGGGUGUUGACUCACUGGACCCCAAAGGGCAGCAGCAGAACCGCCAGACUCUCGCAUAAGCCUUCGAGCGCGAACUUGCUGGCGCAAUAAACGUCAUUGAAAGGCAGCCCUUAGGUGGGGAGACGAGGUUCCUGAGGCGCAGCGGCCAGGGGGUCAUCCCCGGGCAGACGGUGCCCCUCCAAGCUGACGGCACCCCACUCCACCCCCCCCGCGGAACCUGCCUUCAAGGCUCAGCUCCGCACACAAAGAAUCUGGAGCUGCCGAGGCCACUCCCUACCACUCACCCAUCAAUCCUCCCACGCUCCCGGUCACCAACACGCGUCCCGAACCGCGCCUCUUCAUGUCUGGCAGGAAGGCCUGCAGCAUCCGCACAGUCCCUACUACAUUCACGUCCAGCACAGAGGCCACGGCGUCCUCCCCCAGCGCCUCCAGCGGCCCCAGCAGGCCCAGGCCUGCGUUACACACUGCGGAGACAAGAGGCCCGACCAGCCCGCCUCAGCAUCACCCUCAGCACGGCCUGUCCCCUCGUGCUCCCUGGGCCUGGGAACAUGUUGGUUUCAACGCAGGGCGGAGAAGGCUCCUAGGAGCCCAUAUGCUUCCAGGAGGCUCACCCAGCACGUCCACGCGGCCCUCAGUCACGCGUUCCCGGGCAGCGGCCACGGAUUUUGAGUCCCUUACGUCCAGCUGCAACGUCUCCAGGGAUCCCGGAGGGCAUGCCAGGGCCCGGGCCGCCUCCCACAGCCGGCCCUGUGUUUUCAGGUCCCUCAACGUGGCAUACACUGGAGGUUUUGGGAGAGGAGGAAGAUCUGACUUCCCUUCUGGCCUCCAAGGGCUCCUCCCUUCUCUCCCUCCCUGUCCCUGCCUAUCUAUACCUUUGAAGCUCUGGGAUGGAUCUGAAGCCAGACGUACGGCCAAGUGCAGGCCGAUGCCCGAGGAACAGCCGGUGAUGAGCACCACGGUGCGGGCCAUGGUGAGACUGUGGGGAGAGGCUGGGGCUCUGGGCUUGAUAUCACCUGCUUCGCCCCGCCCCGCCUGCGGGCCCCCACCCCUUGUUGUGUCUCCCACGCAAUCUCAAGGAUAAGCCUUCCUGCGGGUCCCUGGCCCGCUCUCCCCACCCUGUUCUGAGCCAAAACAGACAUGAGCCCACUGCUUGGAACAACAAACUGUCCUGGUUGCUGGUCAGAGGGAGGGGAGGCUUUACAAGCAGGUGUGGGUUCCCACGUGGGCACAGAGUGGCCCCCUGGGCAGAUUCCCCUGGGUAUGCCUCUGUGCCACAGGAGCGAUUAUAGUGACCGCAGUUUGCUGCAGAGGCUGUGAAAGUAAAGGCGUUGGGAGGUGGGAGAUGAUUGUAUAUGUGCUGGUUUCGUCCAGGGUUCCUAGCUCAUAACUCACAUGACCAUGGUUACAGUCUUACGUUGUCAUGUUGGGGUGCCUCAGGCCUCAAAAAACAGCCUUUCGUCUCUCUGACCUUCUCCUGUCCUCUUUUCAGCUGCCCAAGGCAGGACUCUAAUCUGAUUGUGGGUUGUAGGAUCCUCAUUCCAGAGUGGGUCCUUGCCCCAUACCCUGGAGAAAGGAAUGCUGCACAAAGGCCCAAAGAAUCUGGACUGGCCUUGCUGGGCUUAGAUCAGACCCUUUUUGCCCAAUCACAUUAUCACAGUUGUCCAUGCUUCAGUCAUGGACAGCCAAUGGAGUUCUCCAUAAAAGGCCCAAAGGACAGGGUUCGGGAGCUUCUGAGGGCUGAACGUGUGGAGGCUGACAGAAUGUGCCCAGAGGGUGACGUAACCCCAACUCUAUGGAGAUAGAAGCUCCUGCUCUGGACCCUUCCAGACCGCCCUGUCUGUAUCUCUUCAUAUGGCUGUUUAUUUCUAUCCUUUAAAAUAUGCUUUGAGGCUGGGCACGGUGGCUCAUGCCUGUAAUCCCAGCACUUUGGGAGGCCCAGGAAAGGGGAUUGUUGGAGCCCAGGAGUUCAAGACCAGGCCAGGUAACAGAGUGAGACCCGGUCUCUGCAAAAAAUAUUAAAAAGCUUCCCAAGUAGCCGGGACUACAGGUGUGUGCCAUCACUGCCACCAUACCCAGCUAAUUUUUUGACUUUUUUGUAGAGACGGGGUCUCACUUUGUUUCCCAGGCUUUUUUUUAUUUUUGAGACAAAGUAUUGCUUAGGUUGGAGUGCAGUGUCUUAAUCUUGGCUCACUGCAUCCUGCAUCUGCCUGGUUCAGGCGAUUCUCCUGCAUCAGCCUCCCGAGUAGCUGGGAUUACAGGCACCCGCCACCACGCCCAGCUAAUUUUUAGUAUUUUUAGUAGAGACGGAGUUUCACCAUGUUGGCCAGGCUGGUCUCAAACCCCUGAUGUCAAGCGAUCUGCCCACCUCAGCCUCCCAAAGUGCUCGGAUUAUAAAAAAGUGCCACCCCACCUGGCCCUGUCAUUUUUAGAAGAUUAUUUUAUUUUGAGACGGAGUUUCGCGCUUCUUGCCCAGGCUGGAGUGCUGUGGCACGAUUCUGGCUCACUGCAACCUCCACCUCCCGGGUUCAAGCAGUUCUCCUGUCUCAGCCUCCCAAGUAGUUGGGAUUACAGACACGUCCCACCACAUCCGGCUAAUUUUUGUAUUUUUAGUAGAGAUGGGGUUUCUCCCUGUUGGUGAGGAUGGUCUUGAACUCCCAACCUAAGGGGAUCAGCCAGCCUCCACCUCCCAAAGUGCUGGUAUUACAGGCGUGAGCCACUGUGCCCAUCCUAAAAGAUCAUUUUAACUGCUCUGGGGUAAUUUCACUGCUGAUGGGCAGGAGUGGAAUCAAGAAAACUAGUUAGGAGGCUACUGCUGUAAUUGAAGGGAGAGAUGACAGUGUGCAGUCUGGAAUAGGGUGAUUUGGGGAUAUGCUUUGAUGAGCAAAGGUAGAGCUGUCAGUAUUUGCUGCUGAAUUGGUUGAAAGGUGAGAGAGACUGGAGUCAAGGACUACUCCAGGGUUUUUAAAACCAGUAUUGGGAAAAAUGGAGUUGUCAUAUAGUAAAGUAGAGAAGACUGGGGGAGGAGCCGGUAGGAGGACUGGAAAUGUGGAAUUGGGGUUUAGACACAUUAAGUUCAUUGUAUCAGGUGGACGUGUUGUAUUGAGUAGGCAGUUGGAGAUACAGACCUGGAGUCUGUGGGAGACAGUGGGGUUUCUUUGGUGGGGGGGUCAUCGGCAUCUAAGUGCUAUUCGAAGUCAUGGGACUGCAGAAGAUUAUAUUAACAAUGUGAAUAUUCACAAGCUUGAAAAAAUGAAUGUACGGAAGAGAGGGGGUCACACUUUACCUCUUAUUAUCCCACCCCCAGGGGUGACCUUGUGAGCCACACCACACAGGUACACACAUGCACGCAUAUGUACACACACUGUCACAGAGGGGCAAAGGGGGUUGGCGAGAGCGGGACUGAGAGCAGAUCCCAGGCCUCAGAAACCCAUGCCACCUGGGCCCCCUCCCUGUGGCCUUCCUGGAUGCUGUAGGGAUAGCAGAUCUGUCUGGGUCAGCAGGGCAAGGCGACUGGCAGGAGGGGGUGGCUGGGAGGCCUCUUCCUCCAAGAGCAGGGGCAGCACAUCAUCCAACAGGCAGAGAAGACCCUCAUCCAGAGGUAGGGGCAGGUCAGGGUGGAGUGCCUGCCUCCUUCCCCUAGUGCCCCACACAAAGCUCCAAGAGCUCCAGCAGGCUCCUGUCUGUUUCCACUUCCCAGGCUUUCUGUGGUCAUGUCCCUGCCCACUCCAAAGGGCCAUCCCCCUCAGCCUUCCCUCCCUCUCAGACCCAGCUGAAUCCCUGCCUCGGUACCGCCCCCUCCUGGGGCACUCCUGCCCCCUUCCUCUGCUGCAUCCUCACCUAGCCUCCUAUCUGUUCACACCUCCCCUGCACCAGACCUCCACAGAAGUUCAGACAGUGGCUCUACAACCCUACUGGCCCCUAUCAAUGACUUCUGCCCCCCUGGGACCCUCCACUGGGCUCAGGAAAGAUGGGCCAUUGUAGCAAAGUAGCCAGUCCUGUAGCCCCAGCUGGACCUCCUGGUGAGGCAGCUUCCCAGAUGGUGGGGAUCGCUCAGUCCUCUGGGGCAGAACAGGGUGAGUGGGGCUGUCUCCCUUUGAUUCACUUAGCCCUCUUUCUUCUUUACACAUUUGCAAAAUGUGACAGUAGUCAUAUUACUAUUCAUUCUAAUAACAGUCCUUGCUGGGUAUUAAACCUCUAUACUAGCACUUUCAGGCAUUAUCUCCACCAUUACUAAAACCGAUUAGAUAGGUAUUAUUAUACCCAUUUUACAGAUAAGAAAGACUCAGAGGGCCGGAUGGGGUGGGUCAUGCCUGUAAUCCCAGCACUCUGAGAGGCCAGGGCGGGCGGAUCACCUGAGGUCGGGAGUCCAAGACCAGUCUGACCAACAUGGAGAAACCUCGUCUCUACUAAAAAUACAAAAUUAGCUGGGCGUGGUGGCACAUGCCUGCAAUCCUAGCUACACUUGAACCCGGGAGGCAGAGGUUGUGGUGAACUGAGACCGCGCUAUUGCACUCCAGGCUGGGCAACAAGAGUGAAACUCCGUCUCAAAACAAAAGAAAAACAAAAAAGAAAAGAAAAGGGAAAGGAAAGGAAAGCACUCAGAGAAAGCAAGGAACUUGCCUGAGGUCUCAUGGCUAAUGGAGUGCAGGUCACAACCUGACUCUACCCCAACCCAAGUCCCACCUAACUCGUCCUGCAGAUGCCCCUUGGGUAUCCAGUGACUGUGUCUGGGCUUUACUGUGGACUUGAGGCAUGAUCCUGGGCUGGCUUCUUUCUGGACCUUGGUUUCUGGGUUGUUGGGUUGGUUGGUUGAUUAGAUUAAUUAAUUGACAGUGUCUCACUCUAUCGCCCAAGCUGGAGAGCAGUAGCUCGAUCAUGCCCACUGCAGCCUCCAACUCCUGAGCUCAAGGAAUGGUGCCACUGUGCUAAUUUUUUUAUUUUAGAGAUGGGGUGUCUCACUAUGUUGCUCAGGCUGGUCUGGAACUCCUGGCCUGGAGCGAUCCUCCUGCCUCGGCCUUCCAAAGCUCUGGGAUUAUAGGCGACAGCCAUCGCGCCUAGCCGCGCAGAUAUAACGGGCUAACGUGAUCUGUCUUAAUUAGCCAUCCACAGCCGUCACCGCCGUCCCAUCCCCAGGGACCGCACAGGCCCAGGAGACAAAGGAGGGCGCGGGAGACAGUGGCUGACGGAGCCUUUCUUGCGGGGCGGCCAGAGGAUCGCUGAGCUCAGGGUCUCCCAUCCCACCGGCCCCGCCCCCGGCCUCGGCCCCAGCCCCGGCCCCAGCCUCGGCCUCUGCGGGAUCGUCGGCGAACACGUCCCGGUGCAUGGCGGCGGCGUAGUCGAAGCCAAAGGGGUCGUCCAGGCGCAUCAGCAGCUGGUGCAGGAAGCGCCUGGUUGUGAAGUAGCGCAGGGUCGGCUUCGGGGCGCGCAUAGCGGUGAGGAAGACCUGCGGCGGCGGGAGAGGAGCUCUGGCCCGGGCUGCGCGCAGGACGACGCACCGCCCCCGCUCCCGGAGUCCCGCCCCCCGCUCACCUUCACCACCUCCUCAGGGUGCUGCGCCUCCUCGCGGUAGAUCUCCUUGCUGUGGUGGAGGUAUUAGUGCAAGAGGCGGAAGGUCCGGGUGUUCGUGCGGUCCAUCACCUGGUCGGGACCGCCCAACACCUUCUGCAUGAAGGCGGUGUCCACAGGGCCGCACUCGAUCAGGCUCACGCUGCUGGCCCGAGAGCCGCAAGUGGGCAGGGACGGAGGCGACCCAGGCGCCAAGUCCCAUCUCCUGCCCCAGCACCGGCCCCGACCCCGGCCCUGGCCACGACCCAGAACAGCACCGCUGCGUCCCGAAGGUGGAAAGAGCGCUGGGGAUAACCAGAACAUUUGAAUAGCGGGUUAUUGCUCGACAGCCCUCCCAAACCCAUCUGAGGCUGCCAGGUAGCCCUGGUGUCAGAAUUCGAACCUGGCGGGAUCCCCGGCCGCUGCAUGACCUUGGGCCAGUCACCUAACCUCUCUUGGCUGGAGCUUCCCCAUAACAAUACCAACACUUCAGCAGCCAGGUCAGCAAGUGGCACAAUGCGUGCCAAUGCUCCAGCCUAAGUGCCUGGCACGCAGCAAAUGUAAGCCGGGCAGAGACCAGAGCGGCUUCCGCAGGACAGGGUGCUCGGCAUCUCUAGGUCAGAGUUAAGAGGGUUGAGGAGACGGGGGUGUUGACUCACUGGACCCCAAAGGGCAGCAGCAGAACCGCCAGACUCUCGCAUAAGCCUUCGAGCGCGAACUUGCUGGCGCAAUAAACGUCAUUGAAAGGCAGCCCUUGGGUGGGAAGAUGAGGUUCCUGAGGCGCAGCGGCCAGGGGGUCAUCCCCCGGCAGGCAGUGCCCCUCCAAGCUGAUUGCACCCCACCCCCUAAGGAGCCUGCCUUCAAGGCUCAGCUCUGCACACAAAGAAUCUGGAGCUCCGGGCCCGGUCCCUGCCACUCACCCAUCAAUCCUCCCAUGCUCCCAGUCACCAACACGCGUCCCGAACCCGGCCGCUUCAUGUCUGGCAGGAAGUCCUGCAGCACCCGCACAGUACCUACUACAUUCACAUCCAGUACAGAGGCCACAGCGUCCUCCCCCAGCGGCCCCAGCAGGCCCAGGCCUGUGUCACACACUGCGGGGACAGAGGCCCAACCAGCCCGCCUCAGCAUCACCCUCAGCACGGCCUGUCCCCUCAUGCUCCAGGGGCCUGGGGACAUGUUGGUUUCAACGCAGGGCGGAGAAGGCUCCUAGGAGCCCAUAUGCUUCCAGGAGGCUCACCCAGCACAUCCACACGGCCCUCGGUCACGCGUUCCCGGGCAGCGGCCAGGGAGCUUGAGUUCCUUACAUCCAGCUGCAACCUCUCCAGGGAUCCCUGAGGGCAUGCCAGGGCCCGGGCCGCCUCCCACAGCCGGCCCUGUGUUUUCAGGUCCCUCAACGUGGCAUACACUGGAGGUUUUGGGAGAGGAGGAAGAUCUGACUUCUCUUCUGGCCUCCAAGGGCUUUUCCCUUCUCUCCCUCCCUGUCCCUACCUAUCUAUACCUUUGAAGCUCUGGGAUGGGUCCAAAGCCAGAUGUAUUGCCAAGUGCAGGCCAAUACCUGAGGAACAGCCGGUGAUGAGCACCACGGUGCAGGCCAUGGUGAGACUGUGGGGAGAGGCUGGGGCUCUGGGCUGGAUAUCACCUGCUUCGCCCCGCCCCGCCUGCGGGCCCCCACCCCUUGUUGUGUCUCCCACGCAAUCUCAAGGAUAAGCCCUCCUGCGGGUCCCUGGCCCGCUCUCCCCACCCUGUUCUGAGCCAAAACAGACAUGAGCCCACUGCUUGGAACAACAAACUGUCCUCGUUUCUGGUCAGAGGGAGGGGAGGCUUUACAAGCAGAUGUGGGUUCCCACGUGGGCACAGAGUGGCCCCCUGGGCAGAUUCCCCUGGGUAUGCCUCUGUGCCACAGGAGCGAUUAUAGUGACCGCAGUUUGCUGCAGAGGCUGUGAAAGUAAAGGUGUUGGGAGGUGGGAGAUGAUUGUAUAUGUGUUGGUUUCGUCCAGGGUUCCUAGCUCAUAACUCACAUGACCAUGGUUACAGUCUUUCGUUGUCAUGUUGGGGCGCCUCAGGCCUCAAAAAACAGCCUUUCCUCUCUUUGACCUUCUCCUGUCCUCUUUUCAGCUGCCCAAGGCAGGAUUCUAAUCUGAUUGUGGGUUGUAGGAUCCUCAUUCCAGAGUGGGUCCUUGCCCCAUACCCUGGAGAAAGGAAUGCUGCACAAAGGCCCAAAGAAUCUGGACUGGCCUUGCUGGGCUUAGAUCAGACCCUUUUUGCCCAAUCACAUUAUCACAGUUGUCCAUGCUUCAGUCAUGGACAGCCAAUGGAGUUCUCCAUAAAAGGCCCAAAGGACAGGGUUCGGGAAGCUUCUGAGAGCUGAACGUGUGGAGGCUGACAGAAGGUGAAGAACUCAUCCAUGUGCCUGGAGGGUGAUGUAACCCCAACUCUAUGGAGAUAGAAGCUCCUGCUCUGGGCCCUUCCAGACCGCCCUGUCUGUAUCUCUUCAUAUGGCUGUUUAUUUCUAUCCUUUAAAAUAUCCUUUGAGGUUGGGCACGGUGGCUGAUGCCUGUAAUCCCAGCACUUUGGGAGGCCAAGGCAAGGGGAUUGCUGGAGCUCAGGAGUUCAAGACCAGCCAGGGCAACAGAAUGAGACCCCGUCUUUGCAAAAACUACAAAAAAAUUAGCUGGGUGUGGUGGUGUAUGCUUAGAGUCCCAGCCACUUGCGGGGUGGGGCGCUGAGGCGUGGGGUUUGGGGGGAUGGAGGCUGUAGUGAGCCGAGAUCAUGCCACUGCACUCCAGCCUGGGUGACGGAGCCAGAUCCUGCCACUGCAGUCAUUCUGGAUGACAGAGUGAGACCCUGUCUCAAAAAAGAAAGAAAAAAAUUUUUUUCCUCUGUAAUAAAGCAAUAAACAUAAUAAGGGUUUCCCUGUGUUUCGUGGGUCACUGUCGCAAAUGAGUUGACUCCAAAGAGGGGAAGGGGGUCAUGGGAACUCCAACUUGAAGCCAGUUAGUCAGAAGUUCCAGGGAUCAGGACUUGUAACCGUUGGGAAGGAGGGGGUGGUCUCAUGGAUCUGCACCCUAACCCUGUGGGAUCUGAUGCUGUCUCUGGUUGAUUACAUUGGAACUGAAUUGGAGGACACCCAGCUGAUGUCUGCUGCUUGGUGUGUGUGGGGAAAAUCCUCCAAAUAUUUGGUCACAGAAGUCUUCUGUGUUGGUGACUGUUGCUGUGGCAUGCCAGCAAAGGACAAACAUGGUUUGAAAAGAGGUUUUCCUGCAACAGAAGGGCAUUCUACGUUCAAAGGUCAGGGUAACAUUAGUGUUAAAAAGAGAGACGUGGCCGGGCACGGUGGCUCACUCCUGUAAUCCCAGCACUUUGGAAGGCCGAGGCAGGUGGAUCACUUGAGUUCAGGAGUUAAAGACCAGCCUGGCCAACAUGGUGAAACCUUAUCUCUAUGAAAAAUACAAAAAUUAGCCGGGCGUGAUGGCACAGGCCCGUAGUCCUAACUCCCUGGUAGACUGAGGCAGGAGAAUUGCUUGAACCCGGGAGGCAGAGGUUGCAGUAAACCAAUAUGGUGCCACUAAACUCCAACCUGGGCGACAGAGCAAGACUCCAUCUUGGAAAAAAAAAAAUUAGCCUGGCGUGGUGGUGCAUGCCUAUAGUCCCAGCUACCGGGGAGGCUGAGGCACAAGAAUUGCUUGAACCCAGGAGGCGGAGGUUGCAGUGAGCCGAGACUGUGCCAUUGUACUCAAGCCUGGGCAACAGACCAAGGCUCCGUCACAAACAAACAAACAAACAAAAACAGGGACGUGAGGCAAG
rnacentral:lncRNA from 1 species